CACCUCAACUGAGUUGGAAAAGUUGAAUGCAAAAGGCCACAAAGUGCUAUGCAAAACAGAUGUGUCGCAAAACUUUGACAAUAAUUAGCCAUCCACAAAUGUAAUUAAAAUUAAGAUGGGCAUGCUACAAGGUAGGAGUGGGACACAUUUUUAUUAAACAACACCAUUUGUUUUGGAUAUCAAGGUAUCAACAGAUAGAAAAACAAUGCAUACCCAUCUGACAUGACUAUGUUGAUAUAAUAGUUAUCAUUUGAGUAAUUUAAUGCCAAAAAUAGCUUGUUAAAUUAAUAUGGGGUUGUUUUCUAUGUCAUGAUAUUAAAUAGAACCACUUACCCCCCUACUCUUUUUUUUCAAGAUAAUGUUUUGCCUUGUUUUUAUAUUAUAGCCAAAGAUAGACAGGGAAGGGAAAGGAGAAAGAGAGAAUAACAUGCAUCAAAGGGUGAGUACAUGUCCUUGCACUACCAUUUUAGCCAAUAACAGAUGGUUCCCAUUCUAAUAGCCUAUAGCAUAAGAUAUAAUAAGUUAACAUACAUUAGUUGAUACCUAUAGUCAACAUUAGGGUAUUUAGUCAGGGUUAUGACAUAAAUAAAUACCAAUAAAUAGAUAAAACAUCUUUAAAUAUAGUGCAUUUGUAUUAUUAUGAGGUAGCUACAGUAUAUCAUUUAUAAUAAUCUUGUAUUUGAAGACAUUAUUGUCCAUUCAAGAAAAUGUGUUUUGGAUUAGGGCACCACAAAAAAGAGAAACAGUGCACAAUAUUGAAGUCUGAUGGAGAAAAAAUACACAAGUCAGUAAUUACAGAACCUAACCUUAUAACGGAUACAUGCAAAUUAAGAAUGACAUGGCAGGCAUGACUGUAUUUCAUGUGUUCUCAUUACCUCCGGCUGACACGGGGCUGGUAAUUUUGCGACGGUCCCUGGCGGCAGACAUCACGGCUCGUUCAGCCCGGGGGGAGGAGGGAUGAAGCUGAGAUGGACAGGGAGGAGGGAGACACCGGCUUACGACGUCAAAUAAGUACACACACACAUACACACACACACACACUCACACAGCGAGCGGGAGAGGAGAGGACAGCCGACCGGACUGCCAAUUCCCCACGGUCUACUGAAGGGAGCCUCAAUUCAUCAUUCACAACACUCUUGAUUCAGCAGAGACGGACAUUUGUUUAUUUUUACGUCAGAUUUAUUUGGAAGGGGGAAAACACACGGAGCAUCUGGAAAAAGACGCUCAUGCCGAAUAAAGGACCGUCGCUGGAUGUUACUUGUGUUGUUAUAAGGGGGGUAGGCCUAACUUGUUACAGGAUUCAAAGACGCUCGUACAGACAAAUGAACUGAAUUAUUGAGAUUCAAUAACUAAAUAACAGCGGGGGGACGAAGAAAGACAUCCACGGAUCACGCCGAGUCUUUGCCACGAACAGCACCACAGACUUCUCAAUGAAGGAGCCUGACGCAAUUAAGCUCUUCAUCGGGCAAAUCCCCCGAAACCUGGAGGAGAAGGACCUGAAGCCCAUCUUCGAGCAGUUUGGAAAGAUCUAUGAGUUGACGGUGAUAAAGGACAAAUACACAGGGAUGCACAAAGGAUGUGCCUUCCUGACAUAUUGUGCACGUGAGUCCGCCCUCAAAGCCCAGAAUGCACUGCACGAGCAGAAGACACUACCCGGGAUGAACCGCCCAAUCCAAGUGAAGCCUGCAGACAGCGAGAGCAGAGGGGAAGACAGGAAGCUGUUUGUGGGCAUGCUGGGAAAGCAGCAGACGGACACCGAUGUGAAGAAGAUGUUUGAGCCGUUCGGCAGCAUAGAGGAGUGCACGGUGCUCCGCGGGCCGGACGGCACCAGCAAAGGGUGUGCAUUUGUAAAGUACCAGAGCAACGCAGAGGCCCAGGCCGCCAUCAACACUCUGCAUGGGAGUCGUACUUUACCAGGUGCCUCGUCCAGCCUGGUGGUGAAGUUUGCUGAUUCAGAGAAGGAGCGAGGGCUGCGGCGGAUGCAGCAGGUGGCCUCUCAGCUGGGGGUCAUCAGCCCCAUGACCCUGCACCUCGGGGCCUACAACGCCUACACACAGGCCAAUAUCCAGACUCCCUCUCUCCCCUCCUAUCAAUCACCCUCCCCCCUCUCCCUCCUCCAGUUGAUGCAGCAGCAGGCCCUGGUGGCUCAGUCGGCCUACCUCUCUCCUGUUGCCACGGUGGCGGCGGUUCAGAUGCAGCAGCUCGCCGCCCUCAACCCCAACAGCAUCAUCGCCACGCCGAUCUCAUCCAUCACCCCCUCCUCAGGUGCCAGCACUCCACCCUCCAUGGCCGGCACACCGGUUCCUGCUCUGCCUCCCCCCCUCACCGUGAACAGCUACGCCUCUUUGCCAGCUCCACCCAACGGCCAUUCAGCAACUGAAGCCCUGUACACCAACGGGGUCCAUGCUUACCAAGCUCAGAGUCCGGUGCUGGACCCUAUGCAGCAAGCUUACACCGGCAUGCAGCACUACACAGCCACCUACCCCGCUGCCUACAGCCUGGUGGGACAGCCGUUCCCCCACCAGCCCACCCUGUUGGCCCAGCAGCCGCAGCAACCGCAGCAGCUGCAGCAGCUGCAGCAGCGAGAAGGUCCAGAGGGAUGCAACAUCUUCAUCUACCACCUGCCGCAGGAGUUCACCGACUCUGAGAUCCUGCAGAUGUUCCUGCCCUUCGGAAACGUCAUCUCUGCAAAGGUCUUUGUGGACCGUGCCACCAACCAGAGUAAAUGCUUUGGUUUUGUAAGUUUUGACAACCCCUCCAGUGCCCAGACUGCCAUCCAGGCUAUGAACGGCUUCCAGAUCGGCAUGAAGAGACUGAAGGUGCAGCUGAAGAGGCCCAAGGAUGCCAACAGGCCUUACUGAAGGAGACUGUCCUGUCCAUACAUAUAUCGUGGAGACGUGCGUCGCUAUGGCUACGGUUGCCUAGCAACCGCUAAAACCUCCCCCCCUCUUCCUUCUCACUGCGUUGUAAAACCUAAGAGUUCAAUCAAGAAAACCACUUGGGAUGUCCCAGCCUUUUUUGGUUGUUUGACCAACCGUAUAGCACAGGAGCAACACUUCAUGAAAGCAGUAUCACGUGUAUGCGCUAACAAAAACAACAGCAGUAAUAUCGGCGACAGAAUAAAUCUACAGAAACCGCAUCCUCAAUAUCAGAAGUGCUCCAGAUUUCCUAUCAUUCCACAGCUGGAUUCAUUUAUAUUAUGUACAUACUCUAUUGUCGGCAACAAGAUCUACAUGUUAAGAAAAAGCAUAUCAUGAUGUUAUUCUUCUGAACAGGGUUCUACUGUAUAGUGUGAUUUGUGGUCCAUGGCGUUAACAGAAGGCCAGUCUACAGUCGGAGGCAAAAGUAAAUACUAUUCUGUAUGAUUACCAUUGGUAAUAUUGUUAUGUAGAUUUAGUUUUAUUAUUUAUACGUACAUUUAAAAAAACAAGGGGGAGAUUACACAGGAAGAGAUUUGGAUUUCCUCACUGUAUAUACCUUGAUUUAAAAAUGGAGUUUAAAGACUUCACAAGUUAAGAUUCUCUGCUGCCACUACUUUUAAAAUUAUCAAAGCGGAAGGAAUGGCUGGGAAUUUUUCUAUCUUGAUUUUUUACGUUUAAUUUAUUUGGUAAUCAAUUUGGUGAGGUUGGAUGGGUGGAGAUGUGACAAUUUCUUUUUUCAUUUAAGAAAAAAAAAGAGGAUUCUUGUGGUCUUCAAGACAAUGAACACACUUAUUAUAGAGUUUUUAAUUACAUAAAUGUACCUAUGGAAGUAAAAAAAAAAAACAUAAUGUUUCUUUAUUUAUUCUCUACAAUCGCUGUUUUAAAACAUAUGUCUUUAAAAGAAAAUAAAGUACAAUU